CUGUGGACAUGACCAGUCCCGUAUGAUUACCAUUCCACGCAGCAUAUGACGAUCAACACACGGAUGGAAUCUCGUCAUCGUCUUCCUCCGACGACGACUCCAUGGGAAUGCUAGUCCCUCUAGUCGUACGCGGAGCUGUCUCUCGCAUCACCUCCGGGCCCCAUGGUGAGAGGUACGCCAAUAUAGAUGAACCUCUAUAAGAAGAGACUUCCCAUUAAUUGAGCUCCACCGGCACAAAACAAUAUAACCUACUUCAGUUGCCAUGCGACUAGCCAUGGAGACCUCACCUCACCUAAAGCUUGUCUCGCUCGUUCUCCUGCUAGCCUUGUUUUCUCAUGCCAUCGCAGCACCACCCCCAUCCCUCCUGGAAGAACAGGCCGGAGCCCUUCUCACCUGGAAAGCCACCAUACACAGCCCCCCAGCCCAGCUGCAGUCCUGGGGAAGCAACACCACAUGGCCAUGCACCUGGUAUGGCAUCAAGUGCGGCGAGAACCAAGCAGGGCACCAGGAGGUCAUGAUCACCGAGAUAUCUCUGCGGGGUUUGCGGCUGAGAGCGGCGUUGGAAUCCCUCAACUUCACGGCGUUGCAUACUCUCACGAGUAUCCGACUCCCGUACAAUCAGAUAAGGGGCCCCUUUCCACCCACUUUAGCAUCAUCUUUGCCAAACCUGCGACACCUAAUGCUUCCAGGAAAUAAAAUCUUUGGUGAAAUACCAAGGCAAAUUAAACACCUAGAGAGCCUAGUGGGGCUGAACUUGUCAAAGAACCACCUAUCCGGUCCCAUCCCUAGUGAACUAAGCUAUCUAAAGAAGCUUGCCAAGUUAGAUUUUUCCAACAACCACCUCACAGGCCCCAUUCCAAAAAAUCUAUGGAAUUGUACUCAACUCACUAUCUUGUACCUAUGGGAUAACCAACUUUCCGGGAGCAUCCCACAAGAACUAAGUUACCUAGUGAAUCUAGAAUUAUUGGAUCUUGGCACAAACAAACUCACAGGUUCCAUCUCCAAUACCUUUGGAAAUUUGACCAAGCUCACUGCCUUAUACCUUGAUGGUAAUUGGUUCUCUGGUCAUGUUCCACGAGAAAUUGGCACCUUAAUGGAUCUCGGAUAUCUACAAUUUUAUGAUAACAAUCUCUCUGGCCCCUUACCACCUGAAUUGUGUGCUGGAGGUAUGCUCAAGAGAUUAAUUGCAUUUGACAACAAUCUCAAUGGACCUCUUCCAUCAAGUUUGGUGAACUGUAGAAGCCUAGAAAGAGUCCGCCUUGAAAGGAAUCAAAUAGAAGGAGAUAUUUCUGAGAUGGGGGUUUAUCCAAAUCUGGUCUACAUGGAUAUGAGCUCAAAUAAUUUGUUUGGUCAGUUAUCUUGUCACUGGGGGGAAUGUCAUAAUCUUACGAUGCUACGCAUCUCAAACAACAACCUUACCGGGGAAAUACCCGCAAGUAUGGGGCAGCUAUCUCAACUAGGGUGGCUUGAUCUUUCAUCAAACAAGCUUGAAGGAGAGCUUCCAAGUGCACUAGGCAAUCUAAAAAAAUUGUUCAACCUGAGCCUCGGGGACAAUUUGCUCCAUGGAAGCAUUCCACUAGAAAUUGGAGCACUAUCCAAUAUAGAGUUGCUGGAUUUGUCAUCAAAUAACCUAGAUGGGUUGAUACAAAAUUCAAUUGAGCAUUGUUUGAAGCUUCGCCUUUUGAAGUUGAAUCACAAUAACUUCGGAGGAAACAUCCCUCCUGAGCUAGGGUUAUUACGUAGCUUACAUGACCUAUUGGAUUUGAGUGAUAAUUCAUUUACUGGGGCAAUACCAAGCCAACUUAGUGAUCUGAUCAUGCUAGAUACUCUGAAUCUUUCACACAAUAAACUUAAUGGCUCCAUUCCGCCAUCAUUUCAGAGUAUGGAAAGCUUGACAUCCAUUGAUGUAUCUUAUAAUGAACUGGAAGGGUUGGUCCCGGACAGUAAACUCUUCCAAGGAGCUCCAAUGCAGCGAUUCAUGCAUAAUAAGAUGCUAUGUGGUGUGGUGAAAGGAUUGCUCCCUUGUCAUAGUGCAAAUCAGAGCAGAGGGGAAAGGAAAGGAUACAAAAUACUUGUAUUAGCCAUUGUUCCUGCUCUGCUAUCUCUUGUUCUUGCUGUGGUGACAUUGAUGUUCUGGCAUGAAAGGAAGAAAACCAAUGCAACUAACGACGAUAAAGUAACAAAAGAAAAAGUCUUCUCUAUCUGGGGUUUUGAUGGGGCAAAUGUGUUCAUGCAAAUCGUUGAAGCAACCAACAAUUUUAGCGAGAUGCAUUGCUUAGCAACCGGUGGGUAUGGAUCUGUCUACAAAGCUAGACUUCCAACAUGCGAAAUAUUUGCAGUGAAGAGGAUACACGUGAUAGAAGAUGAGCAUUGUGUGAAUGAGACAAUGUUCAAUCGUGAAAUUGAGGCAUUGGUGCAGAUCCGUCAUCGAAACAUCGUAAAACUAUUUGGGUAUUGCUCCUCUAACCAAGGCAGGUUCCUUAUCUAUGAAUAUAUGGAGCGAGGAGACUUGGCGAAAACACUGAAGGAUAAUGAAAGGGCAAUUGAAUUGGAUUGGAGAAGGCGGAUACAUAUUGUGUUGGAUGUGAUUCAUGCUUUGGCAUACAUGCAUCAUGAUUGUUCGUCACCAAUAGUCCAUAGAGAUAUAACAAGCAACAACAUUUUGAUUGAUUAUGAAUUUAGAGCUUGCAUCUCUGACUUUGGUACGGCAAAAAUUCUCAAUCUUUAUGGGUGGAAUCUUACAAGGCUUGCUGGGACCAAAGGCUAUCUCGCCCCAGAGCUAGCAUAUACAGAAAACGUGACGGAGAAAUGUGAUGUAUACAGCUUCGGAGUGCUUGUUUUGGAGCUAUUUAUGGGAUCUCAUCCAGGCGAUUUGCUCUCAUCCCUCUCGUUGGCCACCACGAAUAAUGAGCUGUGCCUGCAGGAUCUGCUGGACUCUAGGCUUAUGCUCCCGGAUGCUGAAACCGCCAGAGAUAUAUACCGCGUGCUUACUGUCGCAGCCCGGUGCCUGGAGCCGAGUCCAUCGCGCAGGCUAACCGCACGACGUGUCGGUGAUGAGCUAUUUACGAUUAAAGCUCGUGAAGAUCAUGUCGAUUAUUUGCACGCCGGCAUCACAUUUCCUGCACUGUAGUGCCUAGCUAUAGCUAUGGAUGGGGAACUCGUAUGAUGUGGCAAUUCACUCCUGCAAAACAAUGCUGCAAUGAUGGAUCAGAACAAGCUCCGCCGACAGCUUUUGCGCCACCUGACCAGUCCUCAUCCGCCCGCCCGGCAGGUGCUUGUGUUUUUUCCCAUGAGGAUCUUCACAGCAAACCUGUAGUAAACCGCUUUGAUUUGACUUUAACAUUGUAUGAAGAGGCAAUUCACUCCCGUAAAACAACGCUGCAAUGACGAAUCAGAACAAGCUCCGCGGAGGGGUUUCGCGUCACCUGGCCAGUCCUCAUCCGCCUGCACGCUAGGCCGCCCGCCAGGUGCUUGUGUUUUUUCCCAUGAGAUUCGUUGCACUGCGACCUAGCUAGCUCGACCAAUUGCUCAAUGUCACCAAUAUAUGUUUCUGAACGUGCAGUAGUGCUCACUGUAGAAAAAGAAAACAUGUAGUAGUAGUGCUGAUAAAGUUGGGGGCGAGAUAUUUCUUCAUUGCCGGUGUGCCUCUCUGGUGCUCAUUCAUGUUUAUGUGUUUCUUGCUACGGUGUCAGUGUGUGUGCCACCAUGUUCUCUUUGCUCUUUGAUUCCCCCGAGUGUUGUUGCUCGAUCACAGAAACAGAGCUUGAUUAAUUUCAUCGAUGCAAAUGUUGGCUGGAGAUUUAUUUUCUUUCUUUGCAUGCAGAGGGAUUUGUAACUAAGUAGUACAAAUAAAUUAUUAUAUGUUUUUGUAUCAGGCUCAGAGUUUGCAGUCCACCUGAUGAUGAAAUAUGAGUUGCAGUGCACCGGGCCUGACAGGCUUGUAUCUAUAUGUUGCUGACUCUCAUCCUAGUGUGUGGCGGCGUUAGUGGCAUCAGGAAUGAUUGUAGUAUUGCCACGUCAGUUAACUUGUUGCAGAGCUAUGCUUUGUACAAACAUGCAUUGGAUGGGAGUGCUCUGCCCACCCAAGUGAAAGAAACCUGCCCCUUUGCGCCAAGUGAGUCCAGUUCAGAAUGGCCAUCAUGAGCCGAGCUGUCAAGUUCAAUGUUGAUGCCGUGCGCUUUCAGAGCAGCGACGAGUGUAGGUGCCAUGAUGCGCGACCACCGUGGCCAUGAUACUAUUAGCUACUGCAGCAGUUCAAAUUCUUGCAUUUUCACAACCAAGAGACAUACAGAAGAAGAUGCAAGGGGUCUUUAGCAUACUCUGGUUGCUCAAGAAUUGCUGCAGUAGCUAAUAGUAUCCCUGAAGGCACAGAUCAAGCUUUGUUGCAGGAGAUAUUCUGAAGGUCAUAAUGACAAACUAACAAGCAAGAUUGUCAUUUUCCUUAUGCCCCAAAGGCCACAAGAUGCAAAUGAUGACCUUUUAUUAUCGAAAACCGGCACUGCAAAGGUGUGUGCAACAGCAACUGCACAAGGUCUAGAUGCCACUGAACAAUUGAGAGCAGAAGGUAACAAGGGGAUUAUGCAUGUUAACCGACGGACUUGAAAACGUUUCAGAAUCGGCUACCAAGCUCGUUGGAGCCAUGCUAAGGAAGAAGAAGCAAACGCAUCGGCAAGUCUAGCAGAAGCUUAGCCUGCACUUAGAAAUUGCUGUGAUGAGUACAUCCAGUGAGGCCUUAUUCACCUUCAUACCAUGAUAGAUGUAACAUGGAGUGGAGCCAUGGAGGGUACCUGUCUGUUGGCAAAAUAAAUGGCAGCUUCUUCUUCUUAGCAAAGGGAUGCUGCUCGUACGGCUUGCUUGAAGCCCUGGCCUUCAUUUUGUUUUUUUGUUUUUUUAAGGAGGUUAAACCCCCGGCUUUGGGUCAUCGAUGCAUGCAUCCAUCUUUAUUAAUUAUUCCAUAAAGGUCUGACAAGAACAUACAUCAAUCCACCAUAAGCCACCACUCAUACGU